AUUCAAAAACCAACUGCCAAUCCAUUCCUGCAUGUUGACACAAAAGGACAGUGGUUGAACCAACUUGCAAGUAGCCUACCAAUAAGUACGUUAUUUUUCAAUGUAUUAAGUAUUACAGUGUGGAGUCAAUUGAGGGGACUAGCCUAUGUUUCAUGAAGCCAUUAGAAGACUGUUGCUGACUGAGAGGAGUCUGGCAGAGGAUCUCUCUUUCGGCUGCUGCUGCAUUCAAGCAGGUAGCCCUGCUAAGGAGUUGAACCUGUGGCAGGAGUUGAACCUGUGGUCGAAAGGUGGCCGGUUUGAAUCUCAGGCCGGGCACUGGAAAAAAAUAACAGGUGGAAUAGAUCUGACAACUGAAGGGCUUCUGGGUUCACAUCCUCAAAACAUUUCCCUACCGUUGGACACUUGAGCAAGGCCCUUAAACCCACAACAUGCUCUCCAUCCUGGGGCGCUGCACUGCAGCUGGAACCUGUGCUCGUCUCAACUGUAUGUUUGAGGGGGGAUUGAGAACGGAGCAGAACACACAUUUUUGUUGUUCACUGUAACUAAUGGACAAAGUAUAUUGUAUGGUAUUGAAUUGUAUUGUAUUGUACUGCAAGAGUCAGCCAGAGUUGACGUGGGACAUCAUUCAAACAAUGAGAUGCCUCCCCUGGCAACCAGUGCAUAUUUCCAAACUAUAUUUGCAUAUAAUGACGAUAAAUUCUAAAAACUA